AGUGAACGCUGGCGGUAGGCCUAACACAUGCAAGUCGAACGGCAGCACAGAGGAGCUUGCUCCUUGGGGGGCGAGUGGCGGACGGGGGAGGAAUACAUCGGAAUCUACUCUGCCGUGGGGGAUAACGUAGGGAAACUUACGCUAAUACCGCAUACGACCUACGGGUGAAAGCAGGGGAUCUUCGGAACUUGCGCGGAUGAAUGACGCGAGUUCGGAUUAGCUAGGUGGCGGGGUAAAGGCCCACCAAGGCGACGAUCCGUAGCUGGUCUGUGAGGAUGAUCAGCCACACUGGAACUGAGACACGGUCCAGACUCCUACGGGAGGCAGCAGUGGGGAAUAUUGGACAAUGGGCGCAAGCCUGAUCCAGCCAUACCGCGUGGGUGAAGAAGGCCUUCGGGUUGUAAAGCCCUUUUGUUGGGAAAGAAAUCCAUCUGGUUAAUACCCGGGUGGGAUGACGGUACCCAAAGAAUAAGCACCGGCUAACUUCGUGCCAGCCGCCGCCGUAA
rnacentral:rRNA from 1 species